GUAGUUCUGUGGUGCGUAUGUUGAGAAUACAGAAAUCCUACAAUUAUUAAAUUGGGGGCUGUCGCUGGCGAUGGUGAGCAGGCCCGGUUUCGACCCGGGAAGCCUAAAAUCGUUAAAUGGCCACCCACCUAGAGAAAUUGGGAUUUCGGAUUCUCCAGGCACUCACAGAACUUAU
rnacentral:other from 1 species